UUGCCAAAUUAAAAAAAAAAAAACCUGAACUGCUUCAAUGGCUUCUUCGUGAAUGAAUGACGACGUUACUGUGCCCAUAGCCGGAAUAGAAAAUGAGGGGGUCAUAAUCGACUUAAUAGUGGUUCCGGUGUGGAAUGGUUGUUAAUCUAUUAUCUCUACGUUUGUCCCUCUUAAUGUUCGCCCUCUGACGCUAGCAUUACGCAAACUGCUCAAGUCCCUCCCGGCUUCAGGGGACAUAGAGAAAAGUAUUUCCGGGUGAAUGGGUAGGUUGUUCCCUGCGUGCGCUUGCUUGCUUGGGGCGUUUGUUUGCUCAAGUCUUUUCAGCGGAGGAGAUCUGAAGCUCCGAAGAAUUCAAAGGGCAGCUCCCAUAGGAAGGCAGCAGAACCAGUUGCAGCCACAAUAUUGCCAAUACAGAACUCAUUUGUUUCUUGCCCCGUGGACGUUGCCUACAUUGCAGAGUCUUGAGGUGGAAUCACAAGGAAUAGCAACAUUUCCAGGGUGGAAUAUUAGAAACCAUCUUUUCCCCAGCUAAGAAAACACUUCAGAUAUUGCGGCGUGUGUGUGCACGGUUGGAUGCGGCAUUUAUGUUUGCAGAAAGACUGCCCCAUAUGAAGAUUAUGUCGCCUUUACGUAGGGAUUCUCUGAAAGAGCAGUUGGCCAGGGAUACCUGGACGUGUAGCUUGAUUAGUUACCUUGUACUUAAUUAUUUCUGUUCUGGAUGCAUAAGCCAGCAAAAAAGAUAUUUCAACAGUGGAAGCUUGAUAAUAUGUGUAUGCAAUAGAAUUUUUAGUAAGUUUAGAGGAACAGUUAGGAUAUUAGCUUGGAAGUAUUUGGUUUAUUGGAAUUUUCAGACUAUUGUCAGAAUUUUAUUCAUUUAUAUCCCACCUUUAUUAUUUGUAUAAAUAACUUAAGGCAGAGAACAUCUAACAUUGCUUAAUUGCUUAACGCAUUGUAAGCCGCCCUGAGUCUCCGGAGAAGGGCGGCAUAUAAAUAAUAAUAAUAAUAAUAAAAUAAUAACAUUCCUUCUUUCUUCCUCCCCCAUCCCCAUCCCCAUCCCCAUCCCCCAUAACAACAAUCGUGAGGUGGGUUACUGGCCCUAAAGACACCAGCUGGCUUUUGUGCCUGAGGCAGGACUGGAACUCAUGGUCUCCUGGAAACGUAUUACCGAAACUGAAGCAUGUUUAAAAGAGAAUAAGGAAAAGAAAACGGGAGUCAAAUGUUGAUCUUCUAUUUUCAAAUAAGAUGAGAAAGAACAAAGUAUAAAGCAGAUAUAGAGAACAGCAAGCCUGUGCCAUGCAGCUACCAGAGUCAAGUCAAUGCUGUCCAGCAGCCUGAGAUUCUUUUAUGGAUAAAGGUAUACAGUAACUGAUGAGUCCAAAGCACGUCUCUACUAAUUUUUAUUCUCAAAAUAGGGCUGGAUAACAUGAUUAGAAGUGAAUCAACUCUUUUAUGCUACUCUAAAGGUGAAACCAUUUCCCUGAAGUACAAUAGAAGCACAGAAGGUCAUUCCACCCCCUUCAAAGUGGCAUGGUGCCUGGUAUGCCUGACCAAUUAUACCUGCUGCCUGAAUUCCAUGAAGGGAACAAUAACUCUAUGAAGAACUUAAGGCGCCUUGGUGGCGCAGUGGACUAAAGUGCUGUUAAGUAGCACUUAAAGCUGCCAGCUGCCUGCAAUUACUGCAAGUUCAAAUCUCACCACGCUCAAGGUUGACUCAGCCUUCCAUCCUUCCGAAGUAGGUAAAAUGAAGACCUGGAUUGUGGGGGCAAUAAGCUGACUUUGUAUAAAAAGAACACCGCUUGUGGGGGCCGAAAGCCCUACUAAGCAGGCAUAUACAAAAGUAUGAAGGCUAUUGCUUAAUGCAUUGUAAGCCGCCCUGAGUCUCUGGAGAAGGGCGGCAUAUAAAUCGAACCAAUAAAUAAAUAAACAAACUUCAGGCUGAAAGAUAAUGAUUUGUCUAAAGUCAGCAGGUGAGUUUCUGUGGCAAGUUUCAAUUUGAACACAGGUAUUCUGGCUGUAGUUCAACACUAUUACAAUUAUGCCAUACUUACGUUCCAUAUUUAUAGUGCAACAAAAGCAAUCAAGGGAACUAUUAAAGUGUACAAUUCCCCUAGAGUUCAGGCACUCACUUUUACUUCUUCUUCAUAUUGGAAUCUCCUCUUGCUAACAAUAAUAUCCUCAAUUCCCCUUCGGUCCCCAAAUUUCUUUUCAA